rnacentral:rRNA from 1 species
UUUUCGGAGAGUUUGAUCCUGGCUCAGAGUGAACGCUGGCGGCGUGGAUUAGGCAUGCAAGUCGCGCGAUACUUAGUGAUGAGAGGUUGAAACCGCAAGGCGGAUGCCGAUUUGAUCUAGGAUAUAGCGGCAAACGGGUGAGUAACGCGUGAGUAACCUACCUCAAUACCGGGGAUAGCUUUGCGAAAGUAAGGGUAAUACCCGAUGUGUCUUUCCUGUAAUUGGGAAAAGGUAAAGCCUUAGCGUAAGCUAGGGUGUAUAGAGAUGGGCUCGCGUCCUAUCAGCUAGUUGGUAGGGUAAUGGCCUACCAAGGCGAUUGACGGGUAGCUGGUCUGAGAGGAUGGUCAGCCACACGGGGACUGAGAUACUGCCCCGACUCCUACGGGAGGCUGCAGUCGAGAAUCUUUAGCAAUGGACGAAAGUCUGACUAUGCGACGCCGCGUGAGGGAUGAAGGUUUUCGGAUCGUAAACCUCUUUCGAUGGGGAAGAAGUCCGCCAUUUAUCGUGGCGGAUUGACGGUACCUAGAGAAGAAGCCAUGGCCAACUCCGUGCCAGCAGCCGCGG